rnacentral:lncRNA from 1 species
GGGAAUGUGUGGAAUUGGGGGUGGGUGGGUGAGAAGGAUGAAUCCUGACUACUGAGCUAGGGAUAAAGGGCAAAGGACACUGAGCAGGCUCUUGUAAUAAUCCAGGCAAGCACUGAUGUGCUUUGGACCAUGAUGGUGGCAGUGGAAGUAGCAAGAAGUGAUUGGAUUCUCAAUAUAUUUGGGCAGCAGAACUUACAGGGUUCCCAAACAGGAUGAAUGUGGGUUGUAAGAAAAGAAGGGGAGCAAAGGACAGCUUCCAAGUUUUUGUUUCAAAGUAUUGUUAAUUACCAAGACAUGGAAGACUAUGGAGGGAACAUUUUUAAAUGACAGAAAACAGGAGUUCAAUUUGGGGCAUGUUAAAUAUGAGAGGAUUUUUAGAGAUCAGGUUGAGAUGUUGAGAAGGCAUUUGGACAUGUUAGCCUGGAGUUUAGGAGCAUUUGGUAUAUAUAAACUUGGAAGUCAGCAAUAAAUUGUAAUGGCAAACAAAUCCUCCUGCCUUGUAUACACAAGAGAGAUAUUAGGGGGAGUUGGGAGGACAGCUUCUAAAUAUUUGUUGGAUGAAUCAAUAAAUGGAAUGAAUUAUUUUUUCCAGCUGUACAUGGAGUUUGUUUAAGCCGUUUGUAUUGAACAGUUUGCAAUGUGAUCAACAGGACAUAUUUGGGGAAUAAUCGAGUAGGCCAGUGGUUCUUGGUGUGAGCUGGGAGAACUUUUGCAAUUGGAGAUGUUGUGAAAUCCUCUAGGGACUUUCUCAAGUUACACCACCAUUCUUGGUUGAAAUUGUUGUGGUGGGGAAAUUUUUUUUGAGAACCAUCGAGUUAGUGCUAGCAUAGAAUCUAACAAGAAAUGGCCCUGCAUCCAUUCUCUUUUCUUCUAAUAACAGCCCCAGAUUUCCAUUUUUGGACCUACCUUUUCCUUUUUAUCAGGCUAAGUGUUCAUGGUGGGGCUCUGUCCUUAGUUCCAGGGAUAAAGCCUGUGACCCAAACUUAAACCGCAGAUCAUUUUCCCCAGGCCAUGGAGAUUGUUUCAAAUGUGGGCACAUGGCCUGAAUGGGUCAUAUCAGAGUAAAUCUUAGGGCUUCUGGGUUAUGCCACCAUCACAGGCUCUUGCUUUCCUCACUGAACUUGAACCUAGACGGAUGUAAGCUGGAGCUGUGGCAGCCAUCAUUGCCCUGUGAAAAGUCCACUUGGAGCUGCCAAAGACCACCCCAGGAGCUUCAGAAUGAAGACAACCUGGAAGUCAGAGCUGACAGAAACCUCUUUACUUUUAGAAAUAAGGUGAAGUUAGCUUGAGGAAAGAGCUGUAAGGAAGAGUGAAGUCAGCUGAGUCAAGGACACAAGCGGAAAAUGUGCAAAGAUGAGCCAGAAGCAUGGAAAAGUACCUCCAAGACAGAGGAGAACUGAUCCAAGAGAAAGGAGAUGGGAGUGGGCAUCACGUACAGCCAGAGGGCGCCACCUGCCGAAAUGCCUCUUAUUGUUUACAUUAUGAAGUCUCAACUUGGAUGGAAGCCCAACUGCAACACGGCCUCCUAAAAUGAGACGCAACUGUUCAACUGAACUGUUCUCAGGACUAAAAGGCUGUGUCAAUAAGAUACGGGGAAUAUUUGUUCUUCUGUGUGUUCCGAUCCUUGUUUUUCUUUCCCUUCGUUGAUCUCUUGUUUCACAACUUCCAACCCAAAUCUGCUCACAGCUACUAACUUGGCUUUUAACAUAUGAAACUUUCUAAAAGUAAAGUUUCAAAUGGGGAAUGAAGAGGCUCAGAAUACACUACCCCAAAACAUGUCACUCAGAACACAUCAUCCCCAAAUAUGCCACUUUGGCAUCAGAAUUAUUUUAAACUAAAGGCACAUAAAAACAGGAGAUGCAAGAAGAUCACUCUGACCUUCACUGUUCUUUAAAAGCCAGAGAUGAAAUUCCCAUGUGAAAGGUGUUCUCCCUAAACCAAGAAGAAAGUAACAUUCUCAUCACAAAGGAUAGGAAGUUGAGGCUGAUAGGAAUCUAUACAAGCAUCCCUUAUGUUCCUAAUUACUUAUUUACCCAGUUAUUUACCCUAGCAUAAGCCCCUUUGCCUUGUUACAUUUUCACAAUUCAGGGCAUAAAUGUUUGACUCUAGCUGCUGCUUUGUGUCUUCAUUUCCUUAUGAAUGCUCUCCUGCCAUUAAAAAACUUGCAUUAAAUAAUUUAUAUACUUUUCUCCUGUUGAUUUGUCUUAUGUCUAUUUAAUUCUCCAGGCCCAGGCAACAAACAAACAAACAAGAAAACAAAACAAAAACAAAAAACCCCCAACAACAACAACAACAAAACCAUAAAAGAGGAGGGGCAAAUUUUUGCCUCCUCUUCUGCAUUUUUCACAUGCUUUAUCCUGUUUUCACUUCUUUACUUUCUGGCACUAUAAGGUGUUCCAGGCUCAUCUUAUAUUUAUUUUCCCUAUCCUAGCCCUGGAAUCAGCCACUUCUACACUUCUUGAAGGAGUCCUGGUUCCUUUCAUCAGGGAACGGCAUUUCGAAAUCAAGAUCUGAGUGCUGGCUGUGCUCAUUGCUACUGGUGUCACUGCUCAUAGUCUCCUCUCUCUCAGUGGGCAGAGCUAGGUAAUUCAUGUAUGUAUAACUGACCCAUAUAUGCACACAUAUUAUAUUUUUGUAUCUACUAAAAAUAAAUCAACCAUGAGUUCAUACUGAUAUUUCUAACUCCAGUCCAGCACCAGGAUUUAUUCUAGCAUUAUCUCUGCUUAUUUGUAACUUCUUUCUGACAAUGAGAAAAGUGGAUCCCAUAGCUUACACUAUAUUUAAUUAUUUUUGAGCCCAAGUAUACCAUAGGUUUAGGGUUGUUUGUGAAAAACGAAUUUACCAAUGAGAGUUUGUUGCUUCUGUACUGUUCUUCUUGUCUUUGGCCUGACACUCUCCAGUCAAAACAUUGCUUUACAAAGGCACUUAGGUCAGCUCGUUUCUUCCCUCCUAACUUCCGUAUGGUUAUGUUUUUUUAUUUGUAAUACGGUUAGAUUCAUUUUAGCAGUCCGCUUUUCAUCUUGGAUUUCCCCAAGAUCUCAGUUGAUUUUUUAAAAAUUUGUAUACAGCAAAGUUUACCCUUUGUGGUGUAUAGGUUUAUGGGAUUGAGAAAGGCAUAGAGUCACGUGUACAACAAGACAGUUUAACUCAGAACAAUUGGACUGCCCAAAAGUUUCCUAAUGAGGCCCUUUAGUGGGGCAUCAUUUCAUAGGACUCCCCCAACUCCAGGCAACCACGGAUUUGUUUUCUAUUUUUAUAAUUUUGCUUUUUCCAGAAUGCCAUAUAAAUAGAAUCAUUCAGUAUGUAACAUUUUGGAUUUUCUCUCAUUUAGCAAAAAGAAUUUCAGAUUCAUUCAUGUGUUGUGGGUUGAUACUUUUUAUUGCUGAAUGGUAUCCCAUUGUCUGGAUAUACACAGACUUACUUACCCUUUCAUCUGUGAAAGACAGCUGAACUAUUUCUAGCUUUGGUAAUGAAUAAAGCUGCUAUAAACAUUCAGGGCCAGGCACAGUGGCUCACGCUUAUAAUCCCAGUACUUUGGGA